CGGCGGACGGGUGAGUAACACGUGGAUAACCUACCUAUAAGACUGGGAUAACUUCGGGAAACCGGAGCUAAUACCGGAUAAUAUAUUGAACCGCAUGGUUCAAUGGUGAAAGACGGUUUUGCUGUCACUUAUAGAUGGAUCCGCGCCGCAUUAGCUAGUUGGUAAGGUAACGGCUUACCAAGGCAACGAUGCGUAGCCGACCUGAGAGGGUGAUCGGCCACGCUGGAACUGAGACACGGUCCAGACUCCUACGGGAGGCAGCAGAC
rnacentral:rRNA from 1 species